CAAGGAAUUUUCCCCAAUGGGCGCAAGCCUGAGGGAGCAACGCCGCGUGGGGGAAGAAGCGUUUCGGCGUGUAAACCCCUUUUCCUUAGGACGAAGGAAGUGACGGUACUGAGGGAAGAAGGCCCGGCUAACUACGUGCCAGCAGCCGCGGUAAUACGUAGGGGCCAAGCGUUGUCCGGAGUUACUGGGCGUAAAGGGUGCGCAGGCGGUGGGUUACGUCGUGUGUGAAAGCCCCCGGCUUAACCGGGGAAGGUCGCGCGAAACGAGCUCACUGGAGGCAAGGCGAGGUCGGUGGAAUUCCCGGUGUAGUGGUGAAAUGCGUAGAGAUCGGGAGGAACACCAGAGGCGAAGGCGGCCGACUGGACUUGACCUGACGCUGAGGCACGAAGGCGUGGGGAGCGAACGGGAUUAGAUACCCCCGUAGUCC
rnacentral:rRNA from 1 species